UCUGUCGAGCUUGCUCACAGGCACAUCAUAUCCAUAACACCUGUGCACUUGUCGGAUGGCUUAGUGAAGACCGCAAGGUUGGAUCUAUCCAUCUACUUUACAUAACAAUUCUGUAACAAAUGUAGUCUUAUUAUAACAUAAUAAAACUUUCAACAACGGAUCUCUUGGCUCUCGCAUCGAUGAAGAACGCAGCGAAAUGCGAUAAGUAAUGUGAAUUGCAGAAUUCAGUGAAUCAUCGAAUCUUUGAACGCACCUUGCGCUCCUUGGUAUUCCGAGGAGCAUGCCUGUUUGAGUGUCAUGAAAACCCUCAACCCUAGAUUGGUUAAAACCUUUCUUUGGUUUGGAUUUGGACGUUUGCCGAUGAUAAGUCGGCUCGUCUUAAAAGUAAUAGCUGGAUCUGUCUCGCGACAUGGUUUGACUUGGCGUAAUAAGUAUUUCGCUAAGGACAUCUUCGGAUGGCCGCGUUGCAGGACUAAAGACCGCUUUCUAAUCCAUUGAUCUUACGAUUAAUAUUCUUGACAUCUGGCCUCAAAUCAGGUAGGACUACCCGCUGAACUUAAGCAUAUCAAUAAGCGGAGGAA
rnacentral:rRNA from 1 species